UACAUACUCGCUCAGUGGUAGAGCAUUACCCUGUAAAGGUAACGGUCGCGGGUUCAAAUCCCGCGUAUGUGA
rnacentral:tRNA from 3 species